GUGCUCGCUUCGGCAGCACAUAUACUGAGAUUGGAACGAUACAGAGAAGAUUAGCAUGGCCCCUGCGCAAGGAUGACACGCAGAUUCGUGAAGCGUUCCAUAUAUUU
rnacentral:snRNA from 1 species